rnacentral:rRNA from 1 species
GACUACCCGCUGAACUUAAGCAUAUCAGUAAGCGGAGGAAAAGAAACUAACAAGGAUUCCGUCAGUAACGGCGAGUGAAGACGNNNNNGCCCAAGGUUCAAUCCUGGAUCUCUUCGAGGUCAGGAGAUUUAACCUAUGGACUGGGGGAACUCGGUGUCGGCGUCUGUUAAUUCCUUUUGGAAUUUAGAGCCAUUGAAGGUGAAAGCCCUGUUCGCGGGCGUCGACACUUAGACCAUGCCCUUAGUUCCACGAGUAGGAAUGUCUGAAAUUGCAUUCUGAAUGGGUGAUAAGAUUCAUCCAAGGCUAAAUAUAAGUUAGGAGAUCGAUAGCAUACAAGUACCGUGAGGGAAAGGUGAAAAGAACUUUGAAAAAAGGUUUAAAAGUAUUUGACACCGUUUAUGUGGAAGCGUUUACUUGGACCCCAAACGUAGAUGUCUGGUUAGCUCUAGUCCUUAGAGGAUCAAAGUAGAGUGGUAUGUGCUGAUUAAAAGGUGGCAGCCGCUUGAUUAUCAUUGGUUCUUGCUGAGGGAUGUAUUCUAAUUAGGCCAGUUACCAACACGCAAGAUUCGUCGUUUAUAAAAUGCUGGAUGAGGCCUUUAGCUUGCUAAGGGCUCGCCGGUAAUAAUGGACUUUGGGUUUUGUGAAGAUUGCAAGGCUCGGGCAAUUCACUAUGAACGGUUAUNNNNNNNNNNNNNNNNNNNNNNNNNNNNNNNNNNNNNNNNNNNNNNNNNNNNNNNNUGGCUUGCCACUUGUAUAGCUUGCGAGGCUUGGCGGUUUAAUGUUGUGGCCUUUGUAGCGCUCGAGUCCCUGUUGGAGUGGGUGCAAUAAAUGUCCCGUCUUGAAACACGGAUCAAGGAGGCCGUUUUAUGUGCGAGUGUAAGAGUUAUUAAAACUUGGACGCGUAUUGAAGGAGAGAAUAUUCCGAAAGAUCGUUCCCACGGGGGCCUUCUGUCAGGAAUACCCGAAUCAUGAGAACUCUGUUUCGAAAGGAUUUGCGGUAGAGCACAUAGAAUGGGACCCGAAAGGUUGUGAACUAUGCUUGAGGAAGGCGAAGCCAGGGGAAACUCUGGUGGAGGCUUGUCGCAAUGCUGACGUGCAAAUCGCUUGUCUAACUUGAGUAUAGGGGCGAAAGACUAAUCGAACAACCUAGUAGCUGGUUCCUUCCGAAGUUUCCCUCAGGAUAGCUGGAGCAGUAUUCUAGUUUCAUCUUGUAAAGACAAUGAUUAGCAGUUUCGGGGGCGUAAUGCUCUCAGCUGAUUCUCAAACUCUGAACAGGUGAGUCAUAUUAA